UCGUUAUCACGAAAGGCGGAGGGAAAGACCCAAUGAAACCUUAGCAACCCUUUAUCUUAUAAAGAAGGUGCUACAUUCUACUUUAUGCUGAACUUACUUCAGUAUCUAAGAUAGAUAACAC
rnacentral:ncRNA from 1 species